rnacentral:rRNA from 1 species
CCAACCUGCAUGGGUAUGGUGUGGAAAGUUUUUCGGUCUGGGAUGGACUCGCGGCCUAUCAGCUUGUUGGUGAGGUAAUGGCUCACCAAGGCGACGACGGGUAGCCGGCCUGAGAGGGCGACCGGCCACACUGGGACUGAGACACGGCCCAGACUCCUACGGGAGGCAGCAGUGGGGAAUAUUGCACAAUGGGCGAAAGCCUGAUGCAGCGACGCCGCGUGAGGGAUGACGGCCUUCGGGUUGUAAACCUCUUUCAGCAGGGAAGAAGCGCAAGUGACGGUACCUGCAGAAGAAGCACCGGCUAACUACGUGCCAGCAGCCGCGGUAAUACGUAGGGUGCGAGCGUUGUCCGGAAUUAUUGGGCGUAAAGAGCUUGUAGGCGGUUUGUCGCGUCUGCCGUGAAAAUUCGAGGCUCAACCUCGAACUUGCGGUGGGUACGGGCAGACUAGAGUGUGGUAGGGGAGACUGGAAUUCCUGGUGUAGCGGUGAAAUGCGCAGAUAUCAGGAGGAACACCGAUGGCGAAGGCAGGUCUCUGGGCCACUACUGACGCUGAGAAGCGAAAGCAUGGGGAGCGAACAGGAUUAGAUACCCUGGUAGUCCAUGCCGUAAACGUUGGGAACUAGGUGUGGGUCUCAUUCCACGAGAUCCGUGCCGCAGCUAACGCAUUAAGUUCCCCGCCUGGGGAGUACGGCCGCAAGGCUAAAACUCAAAGGAAUUGACGGGGGCCCGCACAAGCGGCGGAGCAUGCGGAUUAAUUCGAUGCAACGCGAAGAACCUUACCAAGGCUUGACAUAUGCGAGAACGCGGCAGAGAUGUCGUUCUCUUUGGACACUCGCAUACAGGUGGUGCAUGGUUGUCGUCAGCUCGUGUCGUGAGAUGUUGGGUUAAGUCCCGCAACGAGCGCAACCCUCGUUCUAUGUUGCCAGCACGUGAUGGUGGGGACUCAUAGGAGACUGCCGGGGUCAAC